CUUUUGGGCUUUAGCCCAAAGAUUCCCACUUCUCAAUCAAUAAAUGCAUUUCGUGUCCAAAAUUUGAAAAAGUUGUGGCGAAUUUACGCGAAAGGGGCUGUGCCACUUCGCGUGGUACACUUUGUUUACGAACCAUUGCACUGGUCACUGCUGGAGGAUCAGAUUCUUACCAUAUUUUGACGGUCUUGAACCACAGAAAGGUAUUACGAACUGCCAUGUCUUUUUAUAAAUUAUUGCAAGGGCCACACCUGGAUUUUUCUCAAUUCCAAGAGUGUACCUCAUUUAACAAGCUUCAAGCACUUGUUUUCCAGUUAUCGUAUGAGUCAGCGUCACCGAAACGAAUACAAACAUUUGUAGCGACACGUUAAGAAAGAUUUUUUAUAAAAAUGUUUCAUUUUAGCAUUUUCUAUUUUGAUUGAUUCCCAAAAUCAAAAUAAUUCAGCUCUAGUGAGCCUCUGAGAGAUAUCCAGUUUCGUGUCCAAUCAAAUUGCUUUAACGACGUAAUUUAUAAAAUUUCUAUAAAUUGCAUAAAUUAGACGUGAGUCAUUAUUUUCAAGGUUGUAUCUUACUGGUGGCCUGUGCAAUAAAAUCUUUUUUCUCUCA